GCACCCGUAGUCUAACGGAUAGAACGUAGGCCUCCGACGCCUUUGAUGCAGGUUCGAAUUCCUGUCGGGUGCA
rnacentral:tRNA from 1 species